GUGCUCAUUUCAGCAGCACCUAUACUAAAAUUGGAAUGACACAGAGAAGAUUAGCAUGGCCCUUAGGCGAGAAUGAGACACAAAUUCAUGAAGCGUUCCGUAUAUUC
ensembl:snRNA U6 U6 spliceosomal RNA